rnacentral:rRNA from 1 species
ACGGAAAGACCCCGUGAACCUUUACUAUAGCUUGACACUGAACAUUGAGCCUUGAUGUGUAGGAUAGGUGGGAGGCUUUGAAGUGUGGACGCCAGUCUGCAUGGAGCCGACCUUGAAAUACCACCCUUUAAUGUUUGAUGUUCUAACGUGGACCCGUGAUCCGGGUUGCGGACAGUGUCUGGUGGGUAGUUUGACUGGGGCGGUCUCCUCCUAAAGAGUAACGGAGGAGCACGAAGGUUGGCUAAUCCUGGUCGGACAUCAGGAGGUUAGUGCAAUGGCAUAAGCCAGCUUGACUGCGAGCGUGACGGCGCGAGCAGGUGCGAAAGCAGGUCAUAGUGAUCCGGUGGUUCUGAAUGGAAGGGCCAUCGCUCAACGGAUAAAAGGUACUCCGGGGAUAACAGGCUGAUACCGCCCAAGAGUUCAUAUCGACGGCGGUGUUUGGCACCUCGAUGUCGGCUCAUCACAUCCUGGGGCUGAAGUAGGUCCCAAGGGUAUGGCUGUUCGCCAUUUAAAGUGGUACGCGAGCUGGGUUUAGAACGUCGUGAGACAGUUCGGUCCCUAUCUGCCGUGGGCGCUGGAGAACUGAGGGGGGCUGCUCCUAGUACGAGAGGACCGGAGUGGACGCAUCACUGGUGUUCGGGUUGUCAUGCCAAUGGCACUGCCCGGUAGCUAAAUGCGGAAGAGAUAAGUGCUGAAAGCAUCUAAGCACGAAACUUGCCCCGAGAUGAGUUCUCCCUGACCCUUUAAGGGUCCUGAAGGAACGUUGAAGACGACGACGUUGAUAGGCCGGGUGUGUAAGCGCAGCGAUGCGUUGAGCUAACCGGUACUAAUGAACCGUGAGGCUUAACCUUACAACGCCGAAGGUGUUU